GUGCUUAACACAUGCAAGUCGAACGGAAAGGCCCCUUCGGGGGUACUCGAGUGGCGAACGGGUGAGUAACACGUGGGUAAUCUGCCCUGCACUUCGGGAUAAGCCUGGGAAACUGGGUCUAAUACCGGAUAGGACCUCGAGGCGCAUGCCUUGUGGUGGAAAGCUUUUGCGGUGUGGGAUGGGCCCGCGGCCUAUCAGCUAGUUGGUGGGGUGACGGCCUACCAAGGCGACGACGGGUAGCCGGCCUGAGAGGGUGUCCGGCCACACUGGGACUGAGAUACGGCCCAGACUCCUACGGGAGGCAGCAGUGGGGAAUAUUGCACAAUGGGCGCAAGCCUGAUGCAGCGACGCCGCGUGGGGGAUGACGGCCUUCGGGUUGUAAACCUCUUUCAGCAGGGACGAAGCGCAAGUGACGGUACCUGCAGAAGAAGCACCGGCCAACUACGUGCCAGCAGCCGCGGUAAUACGUAGGGUGCGAGCGUUGUCCGGAAUUACUGGGCGUAAAGAGCUCGUAUGUGGUUUGUCGCGUUGUUCGUGAAAUC
rnacentral:rRNA from 1 species